CCACGUUUCCAUCAUGCAAAGGGCAACUCCUCAAGAACAUCAUCUCAGACCUUCAAAAGAGAGAACCCAGGCCAUAAAUCGUCAUUCACCCUUCUCUUCUCACCUUUCCUCUCGUCCCUGGACACAUCAGUCCGUUUACGAGCCCAAAAACACCUAGUUAGAGACCUCCGAUGAAACAACUUUCUUCAUCAAAGUUGUUCGCCUAUGUCUCGUCUAUAUAGCCUCCAAAUAUCAGCUCCAUCGGAAUUGAUUUGAGACCUGUACACCCCUCGAAGCGGAAGCUGUUCCGGAGCAAGCCUGUUCCGGAUUUCUGCUUAAACUUCCUCUCUUGCUCUACCCGAAUCCCCAACACCUUGCUUGAGACUGAUACCAACAGUUGGUAAGAUUCUUAAACCAUCAAGUUCCCCUUUGUUUCCUCGAUUUUAGACUCAAUACGUUCAAAACACCUCAUUUACAUAUUGAGCAGUCUCUGUUUCACUUUGCAUGUUCGAGAUUGAGCAAACUUCUUGGCCUGUGGCUGGACUCGAUCCAAUCAGCUCUUUCAGCUCUCUUUCCUGUUGAAAUCCUCAAGAGAAGCUCAUCUUUUUUUGUUAGUUUUUGGCUUGACAUCGUGGUGGAAUCUUGUGAAGUGGUGGUUGCUACAAGGUUGCAUUGAGGCCAAGUGCUGCAAGAGAAAGCUCGAGUUCCAGGAGAGGUCAGUUCCUCCUUGAGCCACCGGUGGUGGGCAGUGUGCACCAUGCCCUUGUUAUCUCCCCUUUGUCUCUAGCCUUGUGAUUAAUGAAUUCCGGAAAGUGAUUGGCUAGAUGGACGGUUGUGAUGGAAGUGUGAAAGAUGAUCAAUUGCCGUGGGAUUGUAGUUACGUGGUGACGAUCACGUGGAAGCGCAAACCGGUUUUAUCUACUUCUUUUAUUCAAAACAAUAACUCAUGUUUUUAAACUUAGAUAUGGGGGCGGGCAUGGGCAAUGACUGGAUGUAGGAGCCUAACCCCUACUUUAGUUUGUUUUGCAGGCUGUUGUUGUUGAAGCUUGGGCACGGAGGAUAAUCCUUGGAGGACACAAUUUGUUUUACUCUAUUUAUAUAAAGUUUAUUUCCUUUCGGCUUGCUUGAUUUCACUAAAGUUUUGUAACAUUAUGUAUGGUUGAUGAUGUGUGUGCUUGCUUACCACCAAAGUGGAACCCUAGGGUUAGAACCUCCAUUUGAAUUUAGGUCCUAGUGGGCUAGACCUAGAAGACUCACAUAAAUUACCAUUUAAUGAACUUAAUGCAAACUUGGGGCUAAGAAUUAAAAAUUGACAUAGGUUCUAAAACUCAACUCAACACCACCUUCCUUUCCUCUUAUUCGCCUAGUUCGUAAUCUUGUGAUUACGAGCCAAGCCCACUAUACAAGCCCAAGAAUUUCGGGCUUAUAGAUUUCUUGUUUUCCAACCUAAAGGCCUUGUCUCUUUGAGGAAUUCUAGGCCCAAAACACUUACUCCAAGUGUUGCGGGUGUAGGGUUCCUUGGGGAGGCGGCGCUGUGGUAAUCCGGUCUCCGGGUCGCCACAUUUUCUC